rnacentral:rRNA from 1 species
UACGUAGGGUGCGAGCGUUAAUCGGAAUUACUGGGCGUAAAGCGUGCGCAGGCGGUUGUGCAAGACAGGUGUGAAAUCCCCGGGCUUAACCUGGGAACUGCAUUUGUGACUGCAUCGCUGGAGUGCGGCAGAGGGGGAUGGAAUUCCGCGUGUAGCAGUGAAAUGCGUAGAUAUGCGGAGGAACACCGAUGGCGAAGGCAAUCCCCUGGGCCUGCACUGACGCUCAUGCACGAAAGCGUGGGGAGCAAACAGG